rnacentral:tRNA from 1 species
GCGGGUAUGGCGGAACAGGCAGACGCAAAGGACUUAAAAUCCUUCGGUAGAAAUACCGUGCCGGUUCGACCCCGGCUACCCGCACCA